rnacentral:rRNA from 1 species
CCCUUAGAUGUUCUGGGCCGCACGCGCGCUACACUGACGAAUGCAACGAGCUUAUAACCUUGGCCGAAAGGUCUGGGUAAUCUCCAAAUUUCGUCGUGAUGGGGAUAGAUUAUUGCAAUUAUUAAUCUUCAACGAGGAAUGCCUAGUAAGCGCAAGUCAUCAGCUUGCGUUGAUUACGUCCCUGCCCUUUGUACACACCGCCCGUCGCUCCUACCGAUUGAACGAUCCGGUGAAUUAUUUGGAGUAGCUCUGGAAGUUGCAGAACUUCCUAUGUCACGAAAUUUUGUAAACCUUAUCGUUUAGAGGAAGGAAAAGUCGUAACA